GGCUUCUGUGGUACCACGAACAAGGGAGAUAGUAUAAAUCGCAUAUACGACUAUGCGAGCAUAAGCGCUGCGACUCCUAGACUAAAGCGAGGGAAGCCAAAAAUAAUUCAACUAAAAUUUAUGAAAUAAAUAAAGAAAGUAUGAUAAAUACAGUAUAAUAUAGACAUUAUGUAAAUUCUUGGGCGGUAAUUUACUCCUGGAGGUUUAUUAGAUCGGACGACUGCAAGAAUUUUGCAGAAGAAAUACGACUGGGAAAUUCAAUAGCAAUGUCAAAAUUUGUCAUUUCACAUUUGCGAUUCCUUUGUAAGAUUCAAAAUCGACUGUACUAAAUCUGAUAACACGAAUAAAAGGCAAAAGAUCUACAGAAAUAAAUUCUCAUAUACACAACGGUAUACAAACAAAUAGCGUAGAGCUCGGAGCAAGCAAGGCUUAUCUAUGUGCCUAAAGUUAAAAUUAUGAGGUGAUUAUUUCAAAGUUGCCAAGUGUCCUUCAACGCUUCAAGUCUUACCUGUCUUGGUAAAGUUACCCACAGGGUGUCAGAGGUAUUGAUAUAUAUAUAGACUCAUCAUACGCGGGCUGCCGAUGAAAAUGUAACGUGAUGAUUGAAUUUCAAUCACGUUGUUAUUUCAUGCUUUAAGCUUUCCGGGCAAAGUAUCCUCCAUCACGUCCUGAAUUCAUGUCUCACGCUUUUGAAGCGACGGAUCUACCGGGUUUGUGAGUACAAAUAAUAGCGUUGUCUGUUUUCGUUUCAAUUCAUGACUGUGAGCCGAACUAAAAGGAUGAAGAACACGAUAAACCUCUGCGUUUUUAUACUGAUAUCAUUUCAACUUUUUUUGGCUGUUCACAGCUUUCGUCGAUUUUCCCAAGAACUAGAUGGAAACGAAUCAGACACGUACCAACCUGGAAGUGCAGAAGUCUUGCUAUUUGAAGAUGAAUCCGACGACUUCGUGACAGAGAACUGAACAUGGAAUAGAAGAAAAUCGAAUAAUAUCAAAUUAAGCAUGUAUAUACGCGGGCUACAUAUAUAUUACAAAAACUAUAAAUCCAACAAUGACAUUUGCAAACAUUGUGAUGACUAUUACCCAGAACAGAUUAUCAAUUUUAAUGGUUGUAUAUGCAGGUUCUACUAUCUUCUAUAAAAAACUUUUGAAAACAAAAAUAAAAUUGGGAAAGCAGGAUCUGUCAGUAUUUUCGAUGGCAUGUUGUAUUGAAAUAAAUCUGUGAAACAUGUAUAACUCAAAUAUAUUGGUGUCGAAAUUACACUCAAGUGUCAGUAUGAAAUCAAUAACUCCGCAAAAUAAUUUUUGGCUUUUAUAUAUUGUUAUUUCGAAGUCGGAGUAAUAUUUUUUGUCAGGCUGAGCUGUUAUUUUGUUAGUCUGAAAUUCGGAAAUAAUGGCAAUAUGAACCCUAAGUUGAACACCCAUGACUUCAGUUUAGAACAAAUUUUUAAAGACCAUGGAAAUGAAUAGGCCCAUUCCCGACGUUUCCAUAAAAUUGCUCAGUUGAUUAAAUCUGGUUUUCAAGUUGGUGUACUCCUAUUUCUGGUACCGCUAUAACAGGGAAAUGUAAAAUUUGCUUCUAAAACAAAAUAAUGGCAGAUAACCAACACCAUUGACUUAUUAACUGAUUCGGGUGGAUGAGCCCGCGGCCUAAAAAGUGAAAAUUUUGUGACAGAAAGUGUUUGUCUUGCAAACUGAAACUGAUAACCACAGUCUUAUAUUCUCUGUGUUUUCAUGUACUACUGGCGGAAAGGAAUACCUUUCUCAG